rnacentral:rRNA from 1 species
AGAAUCAACGCUGGCGGCGUGCCUAACACAUGCAAGUCGCACGAGAAAGGGACUUCGGUCCUGAGUAAAGUGGCGCACGGGUGAGUAACACGUGACUAAUCUACCCUCGAGUGGGGAAUAACCUAGGGAAACCUGGGCUAAUACCGCAUAACACUUACGAGUCAAAGCAGCAAUGCGCUUGGGGAGGAGGUCGCGGCAGAUUAGUUAGUUGGCGGGGUAAUGGCCCACCAAGACGAUGAUCUGUAUCCGGCCUGAGAGGGCGCACGGACACACUGGAACUGAAACACGGUCCAGACUCCUACGGGAGGCAGCAGUGGGGAAUUUUGCGCAAUGGGGGAAACCCUGACGCAGCAACGCCGCGUGGAGGAUGAAGUCUCUUGGGGACGUAAACUCCUUUCGACAGGGACGAUAAUGACGGUACCUGUAGAAGAAGCCCGGCUAACUUCGUGCCAGCAGCCGC